rnacentral:misc_RNA from 1 species
ACUGACAUUGCUUCUCUUUUUGAGGAUGCGAGAGUGAGGGAUGAUCUCAAUAGUGUGACAAGUAAAAGCUUAUUUCGGGAGGAGUUAGUGGCAUCACUGGUGGAAAGUUGCUUCCAGUUGUCUCUUCCUUUGCCUGAACAAACAAACUCAGGAAUGGAGAGCAGAGUGAUUGGAGCUUUGGCUUAUGGAACUGGUUAUGGUGCACUGAACUGGACAGAGCCGGCUUUGGAAGUAGUGGAAGCUUGUAGGCCUUGUGUCAAAUGGGAUUGUGAUGGCAGGAUCUAUGCAAUUGAUUGCUAUCUGAAGUUGCUUGUAAGGCUGUGCCAUAU